rnacentral:misc_RNA from 1 species
AGCUAUCAUUUUCCUAAGACAUUCGGGGGUCAACCCAAGCUGAUAUCCGGAGUGAACCUGCUAGCUGGCGGGAGAGCUUCUGUGAUCGGCAACCGGUAUCCUCCCGCUGAGGGGCGUAUGGUGCAGUGUAGGCCGGCGUUCCGCGUCGCGAAUUCCUACUCUGCCCCGGACCGUCCCUUGGGAAACUCAGUGGAGGCAAUUGGAUGGCCCGCGAAAUCCCCCGGUGGCUUCGGUCCCGGGGGCUUUCCGGGCUGGGCGUCGGGCUCCGGCUCGGCCUCCGACCUUGUAAAUAUCCUGAUCAUCCCUUCGGGGGUGGGGUGUGACUAGGCGUGAACGCCCCUCGAGGGUGUGCGACCGAACUCUUAAGAUAGU